AUUGAACGCUGGCGGCAGGCCUAACACAUGCAAGUCGAGCGAGCGGCGGACGGGUGAGUAAUGUCUGGGAAACUGCCUGAUGGCGGUGGAUAACUACUGUAAACGGUAUCUAAUACCGCAUACCAUCGGAUGUGCCCAGAUGGGAUUAGCUUGUAGGUGAGGGAACGGCUCACCUAGGCGACGAUCCCUCGCUGGUCUGAGAGGAUGAGCAGCCACACGGGAACUGAGACACGGUCCAGACUCCUACGGGAGGCAGCAGUGGGGAAUAUUGCACAAUGGGAGCAAGCCUGAUGCAGCCAUGCCGCGUGUAUGAAGAAGGCCUUCGGGUUGUAAAGUACUUUCAGCGGGGAGGCGUUACCCGCAGAAGAAGCACCGGCUAACUCCGUGCCAGCAGCCGCGGUAAUUC
rnacentral:rRNA from 1 species